UCCUGGUUAUCCCAGGCGGUUUCGCUAGAGUGCCCGGCUUGACCCGCUGGCAACUAACGAUAAGGGUUGCGCUCGUUGCGGGACUUAACCCAACAUCUCACGACACGAGCUGACGACAGCCAUGCAGCACCUGUGGUCCGAUUCCCUUUCGGGCACACCCACCUCUCAGCAGGCUCUCGGACAUGUCAAGGGUAGGUAAGGUUGUUCGCGUUGCAUCGAAUUAAUCCACAUCAUCCACCGCUUGUGCGGGUCCCCGUCAAUUCCUUUGAGUUUUAACCUUGCGGCCGUACUCCCCAGGCGGUCAACUUCACGCGUUAGCUGCGCCACCAAAAGCCCAUGGCCCCUGACAGCUAGUUAUCAUCGUUUACGGCGUGGACUAC
rnacentral:misc_RNA from 1 species